rnacentral:rRNA from 1 species
UACGUAGGUGGCAAGCGUUACUCGGAAUCACUGGGCGUAAAGGGCGCGUAGGCGGCCUGAUAAGUAGGGGGUGAAAUCUUGCGGCUCAACCGCAAGGCUGCCUUCUAAACUGUCAGGCUGGAGCACGGUAGAGGCAGAUGGAAUUCCCGGUGUAGCGGUGGAAUGCGUAGAGAUCGGGAAGAACACCAGUGGCGAAGGCGGUCUGCUGGGCCGUUGCUGACGCUGAGGCGCGACAGCGUGGGGAGCAAACAGG